GCGAAUCCCUGUAAUACUGUGCAUAUACAUGUCAUACAACUAAUGUAAAUGCCAGUCGUUGCAGGAAUUCG
rfam:Caenorhabditis brenneri strain PB2801 C_brenneri-6.0.1_Cont128.3, whole genome shotgun sequence.